GAUGAACGCUAGCGGUAGGCAUAACACAUGCAAGUCGAGGGGCAGCAUAAUUGAAGCUUGCUUUGAUUGAUGGCGACCGGCGGAUGGGUGAGUAACGCGUAUGCAACCUGGCUUAUACAGGAGGAUAGACACUGGAAACGGUGCGUAAUACUGCGUAAUGUUAUUGAGAGGCAUCUCUUAAUAAAGAAAGAUUUCGAUUGGUUUAAGAUGGGCAUGCGUAGCAUUAGCUAGAUGGUAAGGUAACGGCUUACCAUGGCGACGAUCUUUAGGGGUUCUGAGAGGAAGGUCCCCCACAUUGCAACUGAGAACGGUGCAAACUCCUACGGGAGGCAGCAGUGAGGAAUAUUGGUCAAUGCGGAAGCCUGAACCAGCCAUACCGCGUGCAGGAAGGCGGCCUUAUGGGUUGUAAACUCUUUUAUAUUGGGAUAUAGGGCUUGUCGAGUACAAGCAAUUGAAGGUACAGUAUGAAUAAGUAUCGGCUAACUCCGUGCCAGCAGCCGCGGUAAUACGGAGCUAGAUACGAGCGUUAUCCGGAUUUAUUGGGUUUAAAGGGUGCGUAGGCGGUCAUUCAGGUCUAUGGUGAAAUCGUUGUGCUCAACACAAUUCAGCUGUAGAGACCGAGUGACUAGAAUAUAAGUGGCGCAGGCGGAAUAAAGCAUGUAGAGGUGACAUUCAUAGAUAUGCUUUAGAAUACCGAUCGCGAAGGCGGCUUGCGAAGGUAUGAUUG
rnacentral:rRNA from 1 species